rnacentral:rRNA from 1 species
CAGUCGCCGCGGUAAUACGAAGGGUGCAAGCGUUAAUCGGAAUUACUGGGCGUAAAGCGUGUGUAGGUGGUUGUUUAAGUCUGUCGUGAAAGCCCUGGGCUCAACCUGGGAAUUGCGAUGGAUACUGGGCGACUAGAGUGCGGUAGAGGAUAGUGGAAUUUCCGGUGUAGCAGUGAAAUGCGUAGAGAUCGGAAGGAACAUCUGUGGCGAAGGCGACUAUCUGGGCCAACACUGACACUGAGACACGAAAGCGUGGGGAGCAAACAGGAUUAGAUACCCGCGUAGUCCCUGUCUCUUAUAC